ensembl:lncRNA
AUUACCUCAGUGGCGCUCCCCGGGCGGCCGUGCGCGGCGCUGUGGGGUCCGCACCUGUCCCGUCUUUUCUGACUUCUUUUUUUUUAGAUUCCUUCCUAAGCAGAUCCCACGCUGAUGAUAUUGAUGUACGUGGGGGAGGGAAUGGAGGAAUGACUGCCCUAAGCAAAAGGAAGCACGGAGAGCUAGAGCUUGGCCUUUGCCAUUAUCCUGCAAUAAAACACACUGCAGAAGCCCGGUAUAAAGUUCCAGGUCACAGAGCCAGCUCUCACAGAUGUUACACAGGUCUGACAAACUAGGACUGGUGCCUCUGGCCUGUUCAUAGCAAGACAACAGUGUUUUCAAUGGGCAUAGGUGUGAGCUAUCAGAUGAAGUUCCAUACCAGUGCAUCCCUCCUGCAUGUAAGCUCUGCUGACCAUUGCUUUCAGUCUGGUGUUUCACAAGCAGAAUGAUGUAGAAAGGUUCCAAACUUGUGAGCGCUCUGAUGGAGGGCAAUCUUAGGAGUGAAAUUAUAUGUUAUAAUGCUUGAUUGAAGUAUAUCAGCUUUGAUAAACGUUUCGAGCACUGAUAGACCUGAUAAUCAAAUGCUUGCAAUGCUCCUGGUGAUGGUAUGUAUGUGAACUGCCACAUCACAGGUGCCAGGGAUCAAAAGUCACAGACUUUGAAAUGCCACAAUUACUCGUGAUGAUGACUUAUUUUCAUCUUGCAGUCCUUGUAUAGCAAACAUAAGCCCUGUUGUUUCUCUUGCUGUAACAAUAAACAAACUGCUCAUG